UAUGAAACUCCUUCAUUUCAUUGUGGCAGUAAAGCUUGCCUAUCGUAUGACACAUGAAAGGUUUAAAAGUUUGAAUCUAGAUGCAAGUAGACUUCUUGUCUUAGUGAUGUGUUUCUUGUCAAUGAAGAUGGCGACAAUUUGAUAAGUACUUCCUACUUGUUGCAAGCCAUAGUUGCCCAUUGUGAAAAGGACACCAUAAAGAGUGGAGAGGAGAAGAUAGGACGAGUCCAAAAAUUACUUGAUGUAGGCACUUAAAUGUUAAUUCUUCUAUAGGUAACUCUGUCCUUUCUUCUUCUGCCUUUUUUUCCCCCUUUCAGUUGCUGCAUUUGUAUCUUGUUUCAUAGUCAAUAAUUAUUGUUUUCAACCUAUUAAUGUCCUAGGAAUAUUUUUCUCUCAUUCAGUCUAGACAUCAUGCAGAAUAUUUCUUACUCUUUGGCCCUUGUUCAAUCUCAACCUCAUAUCAUAGGGCUUUUUGUGAAAAGCUCUGUUAUGACUUCAAAAAUGCUGGUAAUACUAUAAGUCAGACCUUGGUGCCAUGGAAAGUGUCCUCUACUUAAACAAUGUGUAGUCGGGGCGAAAGCAGGAUCCUUGUGCAUUGGUGACAACAAUUCUAUGAAGUUUGAAGUAUUUCGUUACAUGGAAGUGCGUGAAGAACACGAGGUGACCAUAAGACAAGAAGAAGCGAUAAAAUACCUUGGCUUUGUUAGCAGGCUUUGACUUUGAUUUUCUUCUUGACCACUUACAUGGGGUAGCCUGGUUGAUGUUCAGUGCAAGGGCUAAAGCUAAGCUUGCGGCUUUGGAGGUUAGGUUUGCUGACUUGAUGAAGCAGUUGGGGCUGCUGGAGUGAAAUAUUUCGUUACAUGGAAGUGUGUGAAAUGCAUGAGGUGACCAUAAGACAAGAAGAAGUGACAAAUUACCUUGGCUUUGUUAGUUGGAUUAAUCUUCUACUGUAAGGCAUAUCUCAAUAUUUCUGCUUUAUCUUUUUUAUGUUUUUACUUACCCUUUUCUCCAUCCAUAAAAACCUCAUGCUGAAUAUUUAAUUCUCUUUUGGCCUCAUUUCAACCAAACAUCAGAUAUCGGGAAGUACAUUUUGUGAUGGAGCCAAUUGUCACUCAUGGAUGCACAUUUUAGAGAGCGCUACAAAAGAAACUUCUUUAUCAAAUGUUUUUCUGGGGCUGGCUAUGGCCAUGACCACCUGCCCUUUAUCUGAAGUCCAACCAUGGCUGACCAAUGGAUGCACAUAGACUCAGUUAGACUUCAACCAAUUGGUUUAAUUCAAAACUCUGGUCCAUAUGAUCAUAAACAAAGCCUUUUAGAUUUAACAUAUACCGUACCCAAAGAUAAAACCCCAUCAGGAAGGUCGAGGAUUUAGCUGCGGAACAAAAUGAGCAUGAGCUCUAUGCAUGCACUCCCAAAGGAAAGUGAGGAAGAUAAAGCCACUCAAAAUAUCAU